rnacentral:rRNA from 1 species
UGGGCAACCUGCCCUCAGCUCUGGGAUAACUCCAAGAAAUUGGGGCUAAUACCGGAUAUGACUGCUGACCGCAUGGUCUGGUGGUGGAAAGAUUUAUCGGCUGGGGAUGGGCCCGCGGCCUAUCAGCUUGUUGGUGGGGUGAUGGCCUACCAAGGCGACGACGGGUAGCCGGCCUGAGAGAGCGUCCGGCCACACUGGGACUGAGACACGGCCCAGACCUCCGUACGGGA